ACAGAAGCAAGUGUCAGGCCAGAUCGU
rnacentral:piRNA from 1 species